ACACACACACACACAUAUAUUAAGCCUAGUCUUAGAACUGAGAAGAAUGAACACUUUUGUUGGCAGAAAAACCUGUUUUGAAAUUUGAUAUGAUUUUCUCUCAUUUCUUUCACUUUCAGGUUGUGUAAAGGUGGAGAACUACUAGAUAAAAUUUUGUCCAGGGGUGGAAGAUACACAGAAGAAGAUGCUAAAGUUAUUGUUGUGCAAAUUUUAAGUGUUAUUGCCUAUUGUCAUCUUCAAGAUGUUGUGCAUUGUGAUCUAAAGCCAGAGAAUUUUCUUUUUGCCACAAGAGAAGAGGAUGCUUCAGUGAGGGUUAUUGAUUUUGGUCUCUCCGAUUUUAUAAGGCCUGGUAAUGCUUCCACAUACUAUUUUUCUUGGCUUCAAGAAUGUGUUACUGCACUUUGAUUCAUGCCUUGGACUUCUUUUGUAAUAGGCUAAUAGCUUCUUGCUUAUAUUAGUUGUGGUUGUAGUGUUUUUUUUUUCCCUCUAAAGGUAAUUCCAUUCAUGACCCCUCUUUUGGAUCCAAUUGGUAUUGUCUUGCAUUAAAGUUUUGAUUUUUGGAUUUUGAUCCGGUUCAGAUCAUGUGAUUUUGUGGUCUUAUUUUGAUCUUAUUGGAUGGUAGAUUUGUAUUAUUAUGAUGCUUCUGUACUCUUUUUUUUGGAGUUGUGGACUUUAUCCUUUGAAACAUACAAAGUCUUGGGUUCAUUGUCUUCUUCAGCAGGAAUUAGGAACUCAUGAAUUCUCUGCAUAUAUAAUACAUUGCUGAGAUGUAGGUCUUCUCUGUUUGCUUUGAUUAUGUAGGGUACUCACUAUGAUUCCUCUGUUGCAAUUGUUUUGCUUCUCAGGGAGAACAUUCCUGCAGUGUUACAUGGGCUCUAAGUAACUGUGAUCAUUAAAAUAAGCAACUGUGAUCAUGAAAUAUUGAAACUGUGAUCAACUGCAGUGUUACAAGUGAGGAACAUUUGAUCAUGAAAUAUUAAAAUUAAGUUACAAGUGUAACAUUUGAUCAUGGAUAUCAAACAUUCCUGCAGUGUUACAAGUGAGGAACAUUUCAUUAAAAUAAGUUGAUAGUAAUGAAUGUUUAAUUAUUCAGUAUAAUUAGGAUUUCUAUGUUUUCAGAAUAGUACCAAAUGUUUCAUGGUUUAACAUCUAUCGACUGCUUUGUUGUGUUAAAAAAAAAAAAAACAGAUCUGCAGGUCCAUAUCAUACUGUGAUUAUCUUAUCAAGUCUACCUAAGCAGCUAAUGAGUCCUAAAGAGUAAGAGGCAAUUGAGAAAAAAACUCUCAAAGAAUUAAACAUCUUGGAUCCAGCCAUAUAGAAGGACAAGCUGUUCUAUUGCAAAGCUACAUUAACCAGGUUUGUGCCAGAAGAUGGGUGGUUCUAUGCAGCCUACCCCUGCUCGAAGCAAAUGAGGAAAAAGCCACUGAGUCAACUAAUAAUCUGCCCAGAUUAUGAUAUGCAGCAGCCACAUUACAGAAAAUAUGAGGAGAUCUGUGCACCCCUGGUUGAAGAAUUUUGUUACAUUACUUAUAGGGUCCCUUAUUGAUAACACAUGUUUUAAGGAAAGAGUGGGCAGUAAAGGCGCGCAAAUCAUAUAGCCAAAAUGAUAUUGACGAGGUGUGCAUUGAAGUGGCUGAUUAUAUAUAGAGUUUGGUGUAAGACUUUUGGCUUCCAUGAUUUUGAGUAAGGCUAGUUUUUGCUUUGAAGCAAAGUUUGGUGUAGAACGUACUUUUGUAGUUGGUUGCUAAUAUGUUUCUAAGCUAGCCUUUGUAGGUUUUGGGUUUUAUUUUGUGAAUUAUGUUGAAUCAUGAAUUUGGAAAGAAAAUUAAUGGAAAGCUC